rfam:Zea mays cultivar B73 chromosome 5, whole genome shotgun sequence.
UGGCUAUGGUGACACAAAUGUUCGUUUCUCGAUGAUAUUAGUUGUGUCAGAAGAACUUGAUUUAUUCAAGGUUAUGAGCUCUGUGCGUGUCUGAGCCAG